CGAGCGAGCGGAACCACAGAUUUACUUCGGUAAUGACGUUGGGAAAGCGAGCGGCGGAUGGGUGAGUAACACGUGGGGAACCUGCCCCUAAGUCUGGGAUACCAUUUGGAAACAGGUGCUAAUACCGGAUAAUAAAGCAGAUCGCAUGAUCAGCUUUUGAAAGGCGGCGUAAGCUGUCGCUAAGGGAUGGCCCCGCGGUGCAUUAGCUAGUUGGUAAGGUAACGGCUUACCAAGGCGACGAUGCAUAGCCGAGUUGAGAGACUGAUCGGCCACAUUGGGACUGAGACACGGCCCAAACUCCUACGGGAGGCAGCAGUAGGGAAUCUUCCACAAUGGACGCAAGUCUGAUGGAGCAACGCCGCGUGAGUGAAGAAGGUUUUCGGAUCGUAAAGCUCUGUUGUUGGUGAAGAAGGAUAGAGGUAGUAACUGGCCUUUAUUUGACGGUAAUCAACCAGAAAGUCACGGCUAACUACGUGCCAGCAGCCGCGGUAAUACGUAGGUGGCAAGCGUUGUCCGGAUUUAUUGGGCGUAAAGCGAGCGCAGGCGGAAAAAUAAGUCUAAUGUGAAAGCCCUCGGCUUAACCGAGGAACUGCAUCGGAAACUGUUUUUCUUGAGUGCAGAAGAGGAGAGUGGAACUCCAUGUGUAGCGGUGGAAUGCGUAGAUAUAUGGAAGAACACCAGUGGCGAAGGCGGCUCUCUGGUCUGCAACUGACGCUGAGGCUCGAAAGCAUGGGUAGCGAACAGGAUUAGAUACCCUGGUAGUCCAUGCCGUAAACGAUGAGUGCUAAGUGUUGGGAGGUUUCCGCCUCUCAGUGCUGCAGCUAACGCAUUAAGCACUCCGCCUGGGGAGUACGAC
rnacentral:rRNA from 1 species